rnacentral:sRNA from 1 species
GUUUCGAUUAGGAAUCUGCAUUGAAACUGAAGAGAAGGGGUUCGGCUAGGACCUUUAAGAAGCCGCCUUUAAAGACUCCUUUUACGCCGCAGAAGGACUGAAAGCAAACGCCGAGCGAACACCCAAGAUCUAACGCCUUCCGACGUGGUCCUUUCCCCCCUUCCUAAGGGUCUCUGGCCGAAGACUUUCAAUAUUCUAGAGCUGUAGUCGGCAGGCGAGUCGAGCAUCAAUAUGAUACUUCCGCGACAUGUAAAUUGUUUUAUUUUUUUCUUUUGGUCAGAAGGAAUAUCUUUUGCUUUCUUAGCUUAAGCGUCUGCCUGGCUUCGAUGGUCGAAGAAUCUUGUACAAAAUGUCCCUCGUCGUGCACAAGACAUGUAAAGCUUUUGCUUGUCAGCUUCGCUGGCGUCGUAGCAAUCUCAGGGAAAAGGGAGCAAGGACCUGCCCUUCUCUGCUUUGGAAAAAGUCUAGAAACAAAGCCCUUUAGGCGCUCUCUCUUUUGCAUCUACGGCCUACAUUAAGCUUAAUCUUUAAUACCGUCUCGACUUGGGGGACUUUACGUACACAUAGUUUUAUUUUGAAAUGUUCUGUUAAAGUUUAAUUUCAAUUAAAUUUUCAUUCACUUUUAUUGGCAAUUCGAUUUCGCUGAAGAACCUCUUCAUCAAUUUAUUUCGAUGGAAAUUCAAUUAUUUUUACUGAACUUUUGCAGUGAAUAUUCAGUUUUGAUUCGAUUUGCAACAAUUUAUCCUCAAAUUCAGUUCCAGUCAACCCACAUACCCCCUCCCCUAAGUCGUUCGGUGUCCGGUCCGUAACUCGCCCGUAUUGCGCAUUUCCGUAAUUUGAAUUGGUUUCCAUUAUUCAUUGUUCAUUGCAACGUGUGGAACGCCAGGCAUUUCUCAUGGCAUAUGUUUCGGUUUUCAGUUUCGGGACCACGCAUACGGAUGAAUGAUCGAAAGUAAAAUCCUUCUUAGACCGUUAUAUGCGCUGGAACAUACGUAAAAAGCCUACGAUUGCGCGUCGUGAGCAUCUCUGUUCUGCUCUGACGAUCGUGCAGUCACGCGCACAUCUCUAAUUGGAUGCCAAAGAGAGACAGAAACAGAGCGAGAGAGAGAUCUAAACAGCUAAUCAAUGGAGAGAAAUGAAGCCUCUCUACGAGUAUACAAGUGUUUAUAUGCAAUGCCUAUACAAGUAUAUGGUUUAAGUAUACAUAUAUAGAUUUUGUGGUUACAUAAACAAUGCCAAACGUUUGCCAAACGUCAGUGGCAGUUACAGAUUACAGAUUAGGCCUUGAUCAAGGGCGGAUGGAGGCCCUGGCCUGCCCUGCCCGUGCACAGAGGAUAAAAAACGGAAAAAAAGAGAAGAUGAUCGUGCUUGGCCUUGUUUCACUGCCUGGUGGAGUCACAAUAUUUGCGCAUCAAUUACGGACACUAUUUGUUCCUCGUGAAUGACGAUGGGGGGCUUAUGGAGUAAAAGCGCCACUGAUAAAACGAACCACUGCACCCACCACUCGGCUGGGACCAAGGUCAAGAUGCACGCGUCCUUGGCGACCAGGAGAGCUGUCCCCAGUGUCUUUCAUGUUCUUUUCUGAAAUUGCUCAAGUUUGCUUUUGCUUAAAGUUGGUUUCAAUUCGGAA